AUAUAAAUCUUCGUCAUGUAAAACCCUUAGAUUUUCAUCAGAACUAGAACCAGUAGAAGAGGAAUCAGAUACAUCAGAACUAUAUUCAGAAUUUAGUAGAAUCUUACACCAAGAAUCCUUAAUUUUAUCAUCUAAAUCUAGACUCUUAAUCUUUUCCUGAGUUUUACACUCACUUGCAUAAUGACCAAAUUUACCACAUUUAUGACACUUAAUCGUUUUU
rnacentral:lncRNA from 1 species